CUCAAGCGUCUUGCGCAAGCUGUGCCGCACUGCGACAAGCCCGGCAGGCGGUUAAGGGAACGCGGUCAGAAACCGCGGCUGUGCCCGCAACUGUAGGCGGCGAGGCCGUCGUUCGAUCCGGGAGCUUGCUUCCGGCGUCACUGGGCAACCGGGAAGGCGUGAGCGGCUGUUGUUGACCCGCAAGCCAGGAGACCUGGCCGCCGACGUCGCUCGUC
rfam:Brevundimonas sp. Root1423 contig_2, whole genome shotgun sequence.